rnacentral:rRNA from 1 species
UUGGACCUGAUAUCAGACAAGAUUACCCGCUGAACUU